UUUUAAUGCUGAAUAAUAUGAAUAAUAUUCUGUUGUGCUAUGGUUUGUUUUUUCUGUUCGCCUAUGGAAGGGCAUCUUUGUCACUUCCAGUUUUUGGCAAUUAGGAAUAAAGCUACUAUACACAUUUUUGUGUAAUUUUUGUGUAGACAUAAGUUUUCAACUUAUUUGGGUAAUUACCUAGGAGCACAAUUGUUGGAUCGUGUAGUGAGACGUUUAGCUUUGUAAGAAACUACCAAACUGUCUUCCAAAGUGGCUGUGUCAUGUUCCAGGCCCACUAGAGAUGAGUGAGAGUUCCUGUUGCUCCACAUCCUCAUUAGCAUAUGUUCGUGGUUCAGACCCUGUACUAAAGCUUUUGGACGACAAUGGGAACAUUGCUGAAGAACUAAGCAUCCUCAAAUGGAACACAGACAGUGUAGAAGAGUUCCUGAGUGAGAAGUUGGAACGCAUAUAAAAGUUGCUUAAAUUUUGUCCUAUCCUUUUGUUACCUUUGUAUCUAAUGAAAUAUUACAGCUCCUAGAAAAUAAUUUAGUUUUGCUUCCUUCCAUUGCUCAGUCUUUGCCUGUGGGGCAUUGAACAUCUGAUUAAAAGUUGAAGUGGCAGCACAGCCCAUGAUAUCUAAGGAGUUGGCAAGCUUAACAAACCUGUUUUUUAUAAAUUUCCAUUCUCCUACAUUUGUUGAUACCACUAACAAAAUGUUUGUAUUAGACUUGUGGUUAAUUAUGCAAAUGAAAGUUUGUGAUAAUUGGUCCAGUUUUACAAACAACAGAUUUUUAAAUUAGGGAGGUUAUUAAGGGAGAUGAUUGCUAUGCUUCCUGUGCUGUGUGCUCCUUGAAAGUAAUGACAGAAAACUACAAAGCAAGUAAGAUAUUCUAGCCUCCACAGAUUGCCUGCUCCUCCAAUCCGCUCAUAUUUUUGUAUUACCCAGCUUUCCUUUAAAUAGAAACGUUGUAGUUUAUAAUGAAUGCACUGCAUAAAAACUUUAUGGCUUCAUUAUUAUGAAACAGAUUCAAGAUCUACAGUAAGAGUGAAACAUUCACAAAGAUUCGCGUUAAUGAAGACUACACAGAAAACCUUUCUGAGGAUUUGUGUGGAUCUGAUAUCCGGCAAAUUUUUGUGCUUUACAUUCUUACAGAAAAGUCAAUUUAAAAAUAAAUCAUUUGUAAGACCAAAAUAUAAAUAAAAGGUUUUAAAAAUCUAUCUGAAUUUGAAAUUCUUCCUAUUUGUCCUUUCAUGUUUAAAAAUAUGUUUCUCAGUGUAUUUUUAUUUUUUAUUUUCAUAUAGGCCUUUUUUUCUUAUCAUAACUUCUUAUUGUGGGCAAUACUAUUUUGUAUUUGUCUAGCAAUUUUCUUAUUUCCAAAGUGCUCC
rnacentral:lncRNA from 1 species